rnacentral:rRNA from 1 species
AACGAACGCUGGCGGCAUGCCUAACACAUGCGAGUCGAACGAGACCUUCGGGUCUAGUGGCGCACGGGUGCGUAACGCGUCGGAACCUGCCCUUAGGUUCGGAAUAACUCCCCGAAAGGGGUGCUAAUACCGGAUAAUAUCUUCGGACCAAAGAUUUAUCGCCUUUGGAUGGGCCCGCGUUGGAUUAGCUAGUUGGUAGGGUAAAAGCCUACCAAGGCGACGAUCCAUAGCUGGUCUGAGAGGAUGAUCAGCCACACUGGGACUGAGACACGGCCCAGACUCCUACGGGAGGCAGCAGUGGGGAAUAUUGGACAAUGGGCGAAAGCCUGAUCCAGCAAUGCCGCGUGAGUGAUGAAGGCCUUAGGGUUGUAAAGCUCUUUUACCCGGGAUGAUAAUGACAGUACCGGGAGAAUAAGCUCCGGCUAACUCCGUG